GAUGAACGCUGGCGGCGUGCCUAAUACAUGCAAGUCGAGCGAACAGAUGAGGAGCUUGCUCCUCUGACGUUAGCGGCGGACGGGUGAGUAACACGUGGAUAACCUACCUAUAAGACUGGGAUAACUUCGGGAAACCGGAGCUAAUACCGGAUAAUAUAUUGAACCGCAGGGUUCAAUAGUGAAAGACGGUUUUGCUGUCACUUAUAGAUGGAUCCGCGCCGCAUUAGCUAGUUGGUAAGGUAACGGCUUACCAAGGCAACGAUGCGUAGCCGACCUGAGAGGGUGAUCGGCCACACUGGAACUGAGACACGGUCCAGACUCCUACGGGAGGCAGCAGUAGGGAAUCUUCCGCAAUGGGCGAAAGCCUGACGGAGCAACGCCGCGUGAGUGAUGAAGGUCUUCGGAUCGUAAAGCUCUGUUAUUAGGGAAGAACAAAUGUGUAAGUAACUAUGCACGUCUUGACGGUACCUAAUCAGAAAGCCACGGCUAACUACGUG
rnacentral:rRNA from 1 species